UGUGCCCUGAUUAACAAAUGCAGCACUUAACCAUGUCCUUAAAUCGGAACUCAGAUCACCAGUGCUGUUGUUUUUACCCUUGGGAUUCUGGGAGNNNNNNNCAGCUCAACUCAUCAGCAGAGAAGUCCAGCAAGUCAAGACAAUCAGUUAUAGCAUUGGUGAGGCGAAAGUUUCCCACAAAAUUACCAAAAUUUGAGAUGGUAGAGGUGACAUCUCGUAUAGUAUCAAUAGUGGUUUUCAAAGAGCCCACGAAUUCAUAAAUGGGUACUUUCAAGCACUCAUUCUGCAAAUAAUCACUCCUAGUCCUAGACGAGGCCUCACAAGGAGUAGAAACCACAAUCAAGACUAGAANGAAAAUGAAGAGUGAAGGAAAAGAAAAUCUUGACAUUCUUGUGAGAAACCAAGGGGUGAAGUCACUGUGGAUAGCACAGUAGUGUAACUAGGAGGAGUGGG
rnacentral:misc_RNA from 1 species